CACAGACAUGACAACAGUUCGGUUCGUUACAUUCAUAAGUUACUUCAAAUUUCACAACAAAUUAAAAAGUUAAACAACGGAGAUCGGAUAAUAAGUUAACUGUUUUUAAAUAAUUUCAGUUUAAGUUUUCAUGUACGUACCUGCCUAUCUGGCCAACUAGGUGCUCGUGACAAUAGAAACACAAUGGUCUAAUCCAAUGAUGCAAGUUCACAACCUAUGUCUUCUGAUUCUGAAGCAAAAUAAUAUCAGUUACAAGUUGUAAAUCUUCAAGAUAUUGAUGGCUUCACCAGAUCAAUUCUUUGUUGCUAUCUAUUUUGCGGACAACAGCAAGUAAAUGCUGCUACUCAAGAUUUUAUGGUGACCACCACUUUGUUCUAAUUUAGGACAAUGUAAGAUUGAUAGAUUUGAGGUUAAUCCCUCUCCGCUGUUAUAGUUGUUUGAAACCGACAAGAGAUUGCUGGAAUCGAAGACUGAUAAUUUGUGUAGAUUUAGAUAAAUUUUCAAGUGCAUACCUGUUCUCCUUAUUUUCUGUGGCCCGUUUCCCUGACUAACCACUAAUCAACGCCUGCCGUUGGUCCCUCAACCCCUGUGAUAACCAGGAGGAGGGGAGGGCUCUGGUUGAACAGAGACUUGGAAGGUUCAUGAUUUUAUGAAAGCUUUUGGAGGGUCAUUAAUCUAACCUGUAAAGCUGUAAGGCACUAUGAUUGUAUCUCCCCAGUAGAAUUGGUCUUGUAUAAUCUCUUCUUCAUUGGACAGGUAAUUACCCUGGGUACUUUGUUACCCAGUCAAUGCAGUGUUUCUCUCCCUGUCAUGCUUGUAUAAGAUAUGGUUACCAUAAAUUCACAACUGUUUUUUUUUUUAAAA